AUUGAACGCUGGCGGAAUGCUUUACACAUGCAAGUCGAACGGCAGCACGGGGGCAGCCCUGGUGGCGAGUGGCGAACGGGUGAGUAAUACAUCGGAACGUGCCCGGUCGUGGGGGAUAACGUAGCGAAAGUUACGCUAAUACCGCAUACGAUCUGAGGAUGAAAGCGGGGGACCUUCGGGCCUCGCGCGAUCGGAGCGGCCGAUGUCAGAUUAGGUAGUUGGUGGGGUAAAGGCCUACCAAGCCGACGAUCUGUAGCUGGUCUGAGAGGACGACCAGCCACACUGGGACUGAGACACGGCCCAGACUCCUACGGGAGGCAGCAGUGGGGAAUUUUGGACAAAGGGCGCAAGCCUGAUCCAGCCAUUCCGCGUGCAGGACGAAGGCCUUCGGGUCGUAAACUGCUUUUGUACGGAACGAAAAGGCUCUGGCUAAUACCUGGGGCUCAUGACGGUACCGUAAGAAUAAGCACCGGCUAACUACGUG
rnacentral:rRNA from 1 species